AGUUGGGGACUCGCGGGAGACUGCCGGCGUCAAGCCGGAGGAAGGUGGGGACGACGUCAAGUCAUCAUGCCCCUUAUGCCCUGGGCUGCACACGUGCUACAAUGGCCGGUACAGAGGGUUGCCACCCCGCGAGGGGGAGCGGAUCCCGGAAAGCCGGUCCCAGUUCGGAUCGCAGGCUGCAACCCGCCUGCGUGAAGUCGGAGUUGCUAGUAAUCGCGGAUCAGCAUGCCGCGGUGAAUACGUUCCCGGGCCUUGUACACACCGCCCGUCACACCACCCGAGUCGUCUGCACCCGAAGCCGCCGGCCGAACCCUUCUGGGGCGGAGGCGUCGAAGGUGUGGAGGGUAAGGGGGGUGAAGUCGUAACAAGGUAGCCGUACCGGAAGGUGCGGCUGGAUCACCUCCUUUCUAGGGAGA
rnacentral:rRNA from 1 species